rnacentral:rRNA from 1 species
AGAGUUUGAUCCUGGCUCAGAAUGAACGCUGGCGGCGUGCUUAACACAUGCAAGUCGCACGAGAACGUUCCAGCUUGCUGGAGCAAGUAAAGUGGCGCACGGGUGAGUAACGCGUGGGUAAUCUACCCUUGAAUUUGGGAUAACUCUUCGAAAGAGGAGCUAAUACCGGAUAACAUCACAUUUUUUUCGAAGUGUGUGAUCAAAGAUGGCCUCUCCAUGGAAGCUAUUGUUUGAGGAUGAGCCCGCGUACCAUUAGCUAGUUGGUAGGGUAAUGGCCUACCAAGGCGACGAUGGUUAGCUGGUCUGAGAGGAUGACCAGUCACACUGGAACUGACACACGGUCCAGACUCCUACGGGAGGCAGCAGUGAGGAAUUUUGCGCAAUGGGGGAAACCCUGACGCAGCAACGCCGCGUGAGUGAUGAAGGCCUUCGGGUCGUAAAGCUCUGUCAAGUGGGAAGAACCUACCUAUGGGUAAUAUUCAUGGGUACUGACGGUACCACUGAAGGAAGCACCGGCUAACUCCGUGCCAGCAGCCGGUAAUACGGGGGGUGCAAGCGUUAUUCGGAAUUAUUGGGCGUAAAGGGCGCGUAGGCGGUCCUGUUUGUCAGAUGUGAAAGCCCGGGGCUCAACCCCGGAAGUGCAUUUGAAACGGCAGGACUUGAGUAUGGGAGAGGGAAGUGGAAUUCCUGGUGUAGAGGUGAAAUUCGUAGAUAUCAGGAGGAACAUCUGUGGCGAAGGCGACUUCCUGGACCAAUACUGACGCUGAGGCGCGAAGGCGUGGGUAGCAAACAGGAUUAGAUACCCUGGUAGUCCACGCAGUAAACGGUGAGAACUAGGUGUAGCGGGUAUUGACCCCUGCUGUGCCGGAGUUAACGCAUUAAGUUCUCCGCCUGGGGAGUACGAUCGCAAGAUUAAAACUCAAAGGAAUUGACGGGGGCCCGCACAAGCGGUGGAGCAUGUGGUUUAAUUCGACGCAACGCGAAGAACCUUACCUGGAUUUGACAUCCCGGGAAUCCCUUAGAAAUUUGGGAGUGCCCUUCGGGGAGCCUGGAGACAGGUGCUGCAUGGCUGUCGUCAGCUCGUGUCGUGAGAUGUUGGGUUAAGUCCCGCAACGAGCGCAACCCUUAUCUUUAGUUACCAGCAUUUCGGAUGGGGACUCUAGAGAUACUGCCCCGGUCAACGGGGAGGAAGGUGGGGAUGACGUCAAGUCCUCAUGGCCUUUAUGUCCAGGGCUACACACGUGCUACAAUGGGCGGAACAAAGGGUAGCAAUACCGCGAGGUGGAGCUAAUCUCAAAAAGCCGUCCCAAGUUCGGAUUGGAGUCUGCAACUCGACUCCAUGAAGCUGGAAUCGCUAGUAAUCGUGGAUCAGCAUGCCACGGUGAAUACGUUCCCGGGCCUUGUACACACCGCCCGUCACACCAUGAGAGUUGGUUGUACCAGAAGUUGUUGGGCUAACCUUUCGAGGAGGCAAGCACCUAAGGUAUGGCUGAUGAUUGGGGUGAAGUCGUAACAAGGUA